rnacentral:rRNA from 1 species
UACGAAGGGGGGCUAGCGUUGCUCGGAAUGACUGGGCGUAAAGGGCGCGUAGGCGGUUUGUAAGCCAGAUGUGAAAUCCCCCGGGCUUAACCUGGGAAUGGCAUUUGGGACUGCAAGGCUUGAGUGCGGCAGAGGAGACUGGAAUUCCUGGUGUAGCAGUGAAAAUGCGUAGAUAUCAGGAGGAACACCGAUGGCGAAGGCAGGUCUCUGGGGCUGACACUGACGCUCAUGCACG